GUGAGCAAAAAAAAAGGAACCGACACGAGAAAUGGGCGAAACAGGCACAAAAGCGAAGCCGACGGGAAACCCAAACAAGGCGCUAGGACCUCUUUGAAG
rnacentral:ribozyme from 1 species